rnacentral:rRNA from 1 species
AGCGAACGCUGGCGGCAGGCUUAACACAUGCAAGUCGAGCGGGCAUCUUCGGAUGUCAGCGGCAGACGGGUGCGUAACACGUGGGAACGUACCCUUCGGUUCGGAACAACUCUGGGAAACUGGAGCUAAUACCGGAUACGCCCUUAUGGGGAAAGGUUUACUGCCGAAGGAUCGGCCCGCGUCUGAUUAGCUAGUUGGUGGGGUAACGGCCUACCAAGGCGACGAUCAGUAGCUGGUCUGAGAGGAUGAUCAGCCACACUGGGACUGAGACACGGCCCAGACUCCUACGGGAGGCAGCAGUGGGGAAUAUUGGACAAGGGGCGCAAGCCUGAUCCAGCCAUGCCGCGUGAGUGAUGAAGGCCUUAGGGUUGUAAAGCUCUUUUGUCCGGGACGAUAAUGACGGUACCGGAAGAAUAAGCCCCGGCUAACUUCGUG